GCUUCCAGGUGCCAUAAGAAAGCUGCAGAGAUAGUGCAGGAUAGUGGGCACCCUGGAAAUGAUCUCUUUCAGCUUCUGCCUUCUGGAAGAAGGUACAGAGUUAUAAAGACUAGGACUAGCCGCCUGAGAAACAGUUUCUAUUCAAAUUUGAUUUUGGUUUUAACGCAGUGUAAGGUAGUCUCUAUGGGAGUAUAUUGUAUUUAAUGAUGGGGUAUCAAAGUUUUUAGGGGGCUAACCAGGCUGGGAUAGCUGGGAUAGCAGGCUUGUUGCUUUCUGAAUGUCUGAUGUAGAUUUUCAAUUUCGUUGUUCUGCAUGGAACAAUGACAGUAAAGAUUAUUGUAUCGUAGUGAGUGUUUUGUCCUUUCAGCUCUCUUAAUCUAAGUGAGGAAAAACAACUUUAUGCCACAAAACUAUUCUGUUAAUUUAACGGAUACACCAGCUGCCUAAGAAAAGCCAUUAUAAUUCUUUACUUGUGUUAAGGAGAUGGCAAGGGGAGGAGGUACAGUGGAGCAAACCAUUAUAGGCGGAUGCAUUCUUCUGGUUUGUAGCUUUAGUUGCUACGGAGCAUGCAACAUUGGGCAGAAUUGUCCUAAAGAACUCAAGCGCUGCAUAAUGGAAGCUGCGCCUGCAUUUCUGUUUGCAUUCAUAAUAACAUGUUAUCUUGUGGAAUAGGAAAGUUAAACAGGAUUGUUUGGCUUAAGAGAGUUACAUGUUUAAAAACCAGAGCUCAUUGUUUGCUGUCAAGGUGUAAAUGGGCUUUUUAUCAGGGUUACAAGCUGCCCUCAACAGUGCUCUGCAAGUAAAUGCUUUAGGGGAACAGCCAGUUAAUUAUAUUUAUGAGAAAUCCAAAUCAGCUUUAUAACAUUUGGAUUUUCUAACCCUUAAUAAAAUAUCCACCCUGGCCAACUGGCAGUGUUUUAUCACCGGGCUCUAAGACGUCUGGGAGUUCAUAAAGACUCUAUCAAUUGUAAUUCAAAAAAGCUCAAAAGAUGUGAUUUAUUACCAUGUUGCAACACAAAUUCCUUUGUGAUAUGAAAAUUCCUUGUCCUAUAGAAGGUCAUAAUUUAAUUAUCAUCCUCUUAUUCACAUUCCUAAUAAUUAAAUAUUGUACUUUCCUCUUCAAAUAUGCAUAUUGCUUUUGGGGGAGGUAUCUCAUUGUGAACAGAAUUGGUGUGUGCCGGUUAAGAGAAUGCAGCAAGCUUUGUCAAAAAACAAGUCUGAAGGAAAUGAGUCUGGUUGAAUGGUGGACAUCCACUAUGAACUGAGCUAACAACUUGUCCUAUGGUUCAGAUUAAUUUCUUGCAGAUACGUAUAUUGUGUUGACGAAAAUGCAAAAGCAGUUUUUCCAAAAGCCCUCAGCUCCUGGUUAUUCAAACAAGGAUGUGAGAGAGCUUGAAAAAAAUGAGUCCAAAAUCUCUUCCAGCUUAAAGGUAUUGACUCCCUAAUUCUCUCUCUAGCCUCAUUAAACUGAGGCAGGUGACUUUGUCACAAGCAAGAACUCAUAUAAAAGGCAGAAUAGUUUGCAGUGACUUUACAAAGCAAUAAAAAUGCAUUUCAGGUACAUGCAGAAUGUUUGCUGCUGUUUUCAUUAGUGGAGCUUACCUUUCCCUUGGUGGGCACCCUUUCCCCCAUGCAGCUGCUGUCUCUUUCUUCCAUCUCUGCAGCGUCUCCACUCAGGUACGGGGUGGGAGGGUCCCCUUAGAAAUGGCAGGGUGCGCACUUGGAGCCACCGAUGCCGACCGAGCUGUUCGCUUUGCAGUGAUGCCUCAGACCUUCGUCCUUGUCCUCAGAGAACGCGGAUUCCUGGGUCAAUUGCUUGGAAGGCAGCUAUGCUAACCACUAUACCACCAACGAUCUAUAGCUUGGCAGUAUAUGUAAUCUAAACCAAAACAUGGCAUGAGGGGCCACUAGGGGCGCAUCGGAAGAUGGCUGACAAUAACAUCUCUCCGACCCACAUGAGGUAAUUAGGAGGCUGUGAUGGGAGUAAAUAGCCUCCCUACCCCCCCCCCAAGGUUGUGGGGGGGGGCUGCCCUUGCCUGCUGUGCCCUAUACCACCCCCGAAUUUGUGGGGAUGGGGGCACUAGGCAGAAUGCCCUCCUGUGGAUCUCGGCGCUCCUGGACGCUGUCUCUGAUUCGCGCCGCUAGCUGCAAGAACUUCAAAAGAAACAAUUAGGAGGAAGCGAAUGCACAUAUUUCCAGGAAGGAGGGGGAGUAAAGACUGCUAACUGAAGAGAUCUCUGGUAAACAAGACGGGUCGGAGGAACAAGAUAAAUCAUGAGAAGAAAUGCCAAGGCUUGGUACGGCAAAGGGCUGGAGGGGGGAGGGGGGGAACUUUCCUUUUUUCUCCUCUAUGUGAUUAACCAAGAAUCCCCCCCCCCACAAGUCAGAAAUGUCGUUUUAAUGACUUAAGCUUGGAUUUAUGACUGUGUGGAGAUAAAUUUUCUAACCAAAGCAUGUUUUAAGAAGAUCGUGCAAAGUAUAAGAGCUUUGGAAUGACGCAGUUAAAAAUGCAGUCGCCAUGUUGGCAAGUUCUAUCGGAGGACUUGGGUCUGGGAGGAGAAAUAGAGCUGCUUUUAUAUUGUGGAUGUGACUCCUCAGAGGGAUUUAAGAGCGACAGUUUUGCAAGAUUAAUGAUGGAAAGAGCGAUGUUAUUUAUGAAAAUGAUGAUAUAUGGAAACCAUCUUGAUAUGAAGAUUGGACGAACAGAAAAAUUCACACAGGAUUAUAAUUGGUGUUUAUCUGCUUAAGGAGAUUAUCAGAAGAGAUCAUAAAGAAAAAAGAAAAAAAAUAUACGAACAAGAUGAGAUGUGGAAACAGCAAGACAAGACUGGAUAGAAUUAUGAACUUUAUGAACUUUAUUUGGACUGAUUUGGAUAUUAACGCAGUAGCAAGAAGAUGAUCGGAAUCCCCCUUCGGAACUUGAAAUAUAGGUCCCCUCAACAAAAAAUUAAAAUUCGGCUUUGUAAUUCGGAAUUUAUGUGAUGUGAUUUAAUUUGAUUUGAUUGGUCGGUUAAUAAAAAUUAUUUUAAAAAAACACACCAAAACAUGGCCUGUUUGCAUGUUUACAAUAUAAAAAUACAAGGUAAGAAAUGGAAGCCUAUUGGAGUUGGAAUGCGGAGAAGGGGUUAAAGCAAAAAGUUCUCAAAGUGGUACUCAGAUGGAUAAUUAAGAGUGUUCCUUUCGUACAUUUAUGCAUUUAUAAGAAAAUGGAUAAACCAAUGAAUUGCUACCCAAGUGCUGAACAAUGAACCAAUGAAUUGCUACCCAGGUGCUGAACAAAAAUUUACAGAAAUAUAUAACAACUACACUACAAACAUAUUUAGGACAACAGAUAAAAAGCUCCUGCAUCAUAUAUAUAUAGUGUCAGCUGCGGGCAAUUCCGUAAGCAAUUUGUGAAGUUCGGAGUAUUGAGACAAUAGUUUUAAACCAAAACCUUUAUGUCAUAUCAAUUAUGAUGGUUGAUUAUUAUUAAUUUGUUGCCAUGUAUCAUUGUGGUUUCAAGGUGACUUACGAGGAACACAAAGUAAAAUAUUUUCAAAGUGACAUACAAUAAACUGCAAUGAAAAGAUAAAAGUGAUCAUACACUCUCAAUAAUUGAACCCUCCCUGCCCAUCCCGCUCCAUUACCACUGAGUAUUCUCUGGACAUUGCAACUAUUAAACCCAUUUAUUAAGGCGAUUACCCUGAGGUCAGUAGUGGAUAACUUGGAAAUGGAGGCUAUUUUCCAGGAAACUUCACAUAGUAGGUAUUUGGACCAGCUUUGCAUACUAUAGCAAUAAUACCUCACAGCGCAUCUCAGGAGGUCUCAUGAACUGUGCAUGUUAAUAGCAAGUUACGCUAUUGUUGCAUUAAAAAGAGGCAUUUGGUUCAUGGUGGCCCAUAUUUGACUCUGUUUUGUCCCAUUAUCUGGCGAUAAUAGAGAGAAGCCAACCUUGUCAAAGUAUACAUUCAAUUACUUGGCUUGCAAUGUGUAUUGUAAAUUGGUUUUACAUGUUGUGCUUGUUAGAUUUAUAGGGCAACCAGGCAAUAAAGAAUGAUGAGCACUGAAUAUUUUGGGCAUAGUAGACUUUUAUCACAAGCCAUCUGAUAUUUGACAGAUAGAAAUGGCUGGAAGCUCCUGGUGUCUUUGUGGCUGUGGAGCUAUAACUGGGAUCGAGGACUGAACGCAUUAUGAUGGCCUCUCACCCUGUGCCAACCACAAACCCAACUAUCACACUAAGGGAGGGCACCUGUUAGUUUAACUUACAACUUAUAUUACUGGGAUCAAGUGGUUUCUUUUCUUUCUCUUCCUUACUUUCUUUUUGCAAUUUUAACCAGUCACUUUAGGGAUUUGUUUUUAUGCAUCCUUUUAUAAUUUAAUGCAACCUGCAUUGAGUUCUUAUUUAAAUACGGUGAGGUACAUUUUAAAAAUAAAUUACAUUUCAGGAGAUAGGAUUUAAUAAUAUUAACAACAGAGCAUAGAGGCAGCCAAUGUGAUGUUCUUUGAGAAGUUGCUAGAUUCCAGCCUCCAUCAGCUCCAGGCAGCCCAGUGAUUAUGGGAGUCUAAGAACUCAGUAUUUCAAUUAGCAUUUUUAAAUAACAUUUAGAUUAAAAGAACUGGAAAAGCCAGUUUGUUAUCUGCUAGACACAGACAUUAUGUUUACACAAGAAAAUUUGACCACACUUCUGCACAUAAUCAGACAAAUAGGCAGUGGGUACAAUUCAGUUCAUAACUGGACAGGACAAUGUAGAUCAUUACAGACCAUAGUUAUUGUCAGUGUUAUAUGGUAAGUACGGUAAUUUCUUGGUAAAUGAUCAUCUUUAUUCACCCCAGAUUUGCCUGCACACUGAUGACUUCAGUAGUACUCUAAUGAGAACUGUUCCCCAAGUUAUUUGAUGCUUUCUUCUUCCACAAAGUGGGCUUCCAUUCUGUCUAAUUCAAAGGGUGCGUUCAGGGCUGUCUUAAGCAUAUGCAGUGCCAGGGUGCAAAGAUUUGCCCAGUGCCCCCCCCCAGGUUGCCCAGUCCCAGGCACACAGGAGGGCGGAGCCGGCCAGCCACCUCAGUGUCUCAGUGGCUUGGUCACCCCCAAACUCAUGGCACAGAGCCGCCCGCAGCAGAAGAGCCUGCUGUGGUGCUCCGACCAACGGGCAGGCUCUUCCCUGGACUCAACUCUCAGGCCCCAGACUCUUGGCCUGGUGCCCCUGAGAGCCAGGUGCCUGGGUGCCCUGCACCCCUAGUGCCUAUGGGUAAGACGGCCCUGGGUACAUUACAAUUCCUUUAUCAUUUUUUAAGGUGCGUAGUUCAGGUUUUUGUUGUGAGGUAGUCAAUAUUUCAUUACCAUUAAAUAUUUCCCCAGCACUCUGCAGCCUUCCUGGUUGUCCUCACUCCCUGAUCUAAAAAGGCCUCAUAGGAAGAUAGGCUCACAAUGGCCUUUAAUUGAAACAUGGGAAGCCAGGGGGACUGGCUAGCAAGCACCAAGAUUGGUGAGCUUGCUGAUUUUGUUUUUAAGGCAAUGUCUUCCUUUCACCUUAAAAAGAACCUCACUUUUUCUGGAAAGACCAGCCAUGGACAUAUUGCAGUUUGCAGGGAGCAUGGGCAUCUAGGAAAGCUUGAAAAAUGCAUACCACCAAAGAUAUAGCUUGUAUUAUUUUAUUUAUUUUAAUUCAUAAAAUUUAUACCCCACUUGAUUGUAAAAGAAACCCUCAAAGCACUUUACAAAAAGCU